GAAAAAGUGACACAACUCACACAAACAAACCAUCUGGAACCAACAGAGAAAGAUGAUUUUCUGUGGUGUUUUAAAUCUUUGACCUGGAUGUGAGUUUGAAAGGUGUGCAUGAUGGAUGUUUCUGAGGAGAGAGAGGACGGUGGUUCGACCUUAAAGGCUGCUCUGUCUGAGCAACACGAUGGAGAGACAAGAAAAAAUAGGGUUUCAUUGCCUGGCACAAUAACACACCGUCAAUCAUCAACACACCCCUACACACUGACUCCAACCGGGUAGCAGUGUAUCUGCACUGGAAGGCUGGAACUCUGUCCUUCUACUCUCUCCCCUCCAGAAGCUCCUCCAAUAGACGAAUCCACCUCCACACCUUCCAGUCCACAUUCACCCAACUCCUCUACCCUGCUGCUGGGUUUGGAAAAGGACAUGAGGAUGGUACAGAGUCUUCAGUUACUCUGACUCUGAUUGAAUGAAGGUUACCUCCUUGACUCUCAGGACAGAUUGAGAUCAACAUAUCUGAGCUGUAAUAGAGCUGAAGCUUGUAAAGACAAAACUCUGGCUGUUUGUGGAUUAGCAAAGAAAUAUUUCCAAGACAGAAUUAAUGCUACAGGUGCAAAGUUAUGAAGCUCAACAUACAAUAGUUUUUUGCUACACUGGGCUAGAGAUUUAGCAGGGAUGCCCUCCCUACUAUAUAUGUUCUCGGACUUGUGAUAUUUAUAAAUAUAUAGUAUUAUCUUUUUGCAGUCAAUAUUAAGAUAUUCAAAU